rnacentral:rRNA from 1 species
GAUGAACGCUGGCGGCGUGCCUAAUACAUGCAAGUCGAGCGAACGGACGAGAAGCUUGCUUCUCUGAUGUUAGCGGCGGACGGGUGAGUAACACGUGGAUAACCUACCCAUAAGACUGGGAUAACUUCGGGAAACCGUAGCUAAUACCGGAUAAUAUUUUGAACCGCAUGGUUCAAAAGUGAAAGACGGUCUUGCUGUCACUUAUAGAUGGAUCCGCGCUGCAUUAGCUAGUUGGUAAGGUAACGGCUUACCAAGGCAACGAUGCAUAGCCGACCUGAGAGGGUGAUCGGCCACACUGGAACUGAGACACGGUCCAGACUCCUACGGGAGGCAGCAGUAGGGAAUCUUCCGCAAUGGGCGAAAGCCUGACGGAGCAACGCCGCGUGAGUGAUGAAGGUCUUCGGAUCGUAAAACUCUGUUAUUAGGGAAGAACAUAUGAGUAAGUAACUGUGCACAUCUUGACGGUACCUAAUCAGAAAGCCACGGCUAACUACGUG